UAGUCCACACCGUAAACGAUGUGUGCUAGUUGUCGGGCAGUUUACUGUUCGGUGACGCAGCUAACGCAUUAAGCACACCGCCUGGGGAGUACGGCCGCAAGGUUAAAACUCAAAGGAAUUGACGGGGACCCGCACAAGCGGUGGAGCAUGUGGUUUAAUUUGACGCAACGCGGAGAACCUUACCAGCCCUUGACAUCCUGGUCGCGAGGAGUGGAGACACACCUUUUCAGUUCGGCUGGACCAGUGACAGGUGGUGCACGGCUGUCGUCAGCUCGUGUCGUGAGAUGUUAGGUUAAGUCCUGCAACGAGCGCAACCCCUAUCGUCUGUUGCCAUCAUUAAGUUGGGAACUCUGACGAGACUGCCGGUGAUAAGCCGGAGGAAGGCGGGGACGACGUCAAGUCAUCAUGCCCUUACGGGGCUGGGGCUACACACGUGCUACAAU
rnacentral:rRNA from 1 species